GCCGGAUUAGCUCAGCGGUAGAGCACCGCUCUUGUAAAGCGAAGGUCGUCGGUUCGAUCCCGACAUCCGGCU
rnacentral:tRNA from 1 species